rnacentral:lncRNA from 1 species
UGUGACCGUAGCCCGGCAGACAGCCUACCACUUGGCCUGGGAUCGAACCUGUGUCCGUAGCCCAGCAGAGAGCCUACCACUUGGCCUCGGAUCGAACCUACCGCUUUUCGCUGGGAUCGAACCUGAGACCAUAGCCCGGCAUCGAACCUACCACUUGGCCUGGGAUCGAACCUACCGCUUUUCGCUGGGAUCGCACCUGUGACUGUAGCCCGGCAGAGAGUCUACCACUUGGCCUGGGAUCGAAUCUACCGCUUUUCACUGGGAUCGAACCUGUGACCGUAGCUCGGCAGAGAGCCUACCACUUGGCCUGGGAUCGAACCUACCGCUUUUCGCUGGGAUCGAACUUGUGACCGUAGCCCGGCAGAGAGCCUACCACUUGGCCUGGGAUCGAACCUACCUCUUUUCGCUGGGAUCGAACCUGUGACCGUAGCCUGGCAGAAAGCCUACCACUUGGCCUGGGGUCGAACCUACCGCUUUUUGCUGGGAUCGCACCUGUGACCGUAGCCCGGCAGAGAGCCUACCACUUGGCCUGGGAUCGAACCUGUGUCCGUAGCCUGGCAGAGAGCCUACCACUUGGCCUGGGAUCGAACCUACCGCUUUUUGCUGGGAUAGAACCUGUGACCAUAGCCCGGCAUCGAACCUACCAAUUAUCGCUGGGAUCGAACUUGUGACUGUAGCCCGGCAGAGAGCCUACCACUUGGCCUGGAAUCGAACCUACCGCUUUUCGCUGGGAACGAACCUGUGACCGUAGCCCGGCAGAGAGCCUACCACUUGGCCUGGAAUCGAACCUACCGUUUUUCGCUGGAAUUGCACCUGUGUCCGUAGCCCAGCAGAGAGCCUACCACUUGGCCUGGGAUCGAACCUGUGUCCGUAGCCCGGCAGAGAGCCUACCACUUGGCCUGGGAUCGAACCUACCGCUUUUCGCUGGGAUCGAACCUGUGACCAUAGCCCGGCAUCGAACCUACCACUUGGCCUGGGAUCGAACCUAUCGCUUUUUGCUGGGAUCGCACCUGUGACCGUAGCCCAGCAGAGAGCCUAUCACUUGGCCUGGGAUCGAACCUACCGCUUUUCGCUGGGAUCGCACCUGUGACCGUAGCCCGGCAGAGAGCCUACCACUUGGCCUGGGAUCGAACCUGUGUCCGUAGCCCGGCAGAGAGCCUACCACUUGGCCUGGGAUCGAACCUACCGCUUUUCGCUGGGAUCGAACCUAACAGUUUUCGCUGGGAUCGAACUUGUGACUGUAUCCCGGCAGAGAGCCUAUCACUUGGCCUGGGAUCGAACCUACCGCUUUUUGCUGGGAUCGAACCUUUGAUCAUAGCCUGGCACAGAACCUACCACUUUGGCUGGGAUCGAACCUACUGCUUUUCGCUGGGAUCGAACCUGUGACCGUAGCCUGGCAGAGAGCCUACCACUUGGCCUGGGAUCAAACAUACCACUUUUCGCUGGGAUCGAACCUGUGACCAUAGCCCGACAUCGAACCUAUUGCUUUUCGCUGGGAUCGAACCUGUCACCGUAGCCUGGCAGAGAGCCUACCACUUGGCCUGGGAUCGAACCUACCGCUUUUCGCUGGGAUCAAACCUGUGACCGUAGCCCAGCAGAGAGCCUUCCACUUGGCCUGGGAUCGAACCUACCACUUUUCGCUGGGAUCGCACCUGUGACCAUAGCCCGGCAUUGAACCUACCAAUUAUCGCUGGGAUCGAACUUGUGACUGUGGCCCGGCAGAGAGCCUACCACUUGGCCUGGGAUCGAACCUACCGCUUUUCGCUGGGAUCGAACCUGUGACCAUAGCCUGGCAUCGAACCUACCAAUUAUCGCUGGGAUCGAACUUGUGACUGUGGCCUGGCAGAGAGCCUACCACUUGGCCUGGGAUCGAACCUACCACUUUUUGCUGGGAUCGAACCUGUGACCGUAGCCCGGCAGAAAGCCUACCACUUGGCCUGGGAUCGAACCUACCGCUUUUCGCUGGGAUCGAACCUGUGACCAUAGCCCGGCAUCGAACCUACCAAUUAUCGCUGGGAUCGAACUUGUGACUGUGGCCCUGUGUCCGUAGCCCGGCAGAGAGCCUACCACUUGGCCUGGGAUCGAACCUACCGCUUUUCGCUGGGAUUGAACCUACCAAUUUUCGCUGGGAUAGAACUUGUGACUAUCCCGGCAGAGAGCCUAUCACUUGGCCUGGGAUCGAACCUACCGCUUUUUGCUGGGAUCGAACCUUUGACCGUAGCCUGGCACAGAACCUACCUCUUUGGCUGGGAUCGAACCUACCAGUUGCGCUGGGAUUGAACCUGCGAUCGUUUGAUCUUGCUGUCCUUCAAAGUGUAAAACUAAAGCUACAAAACAGUAUUGUUUUUAUUUGGAUAGGGAACUCUUAGAUAGAUGCCCCUGGAUAGGGAACUCUGCAGAGCCAUUCUUAGAUGCCCCUUUCUCGUCUAGGUAGAUAGGGAAUUAAAUUGUGUAGAUAGGGAAGAUCCUCUGGUGAUUACGGGAAGCAGAGUGUAGAUAGGGAAGAUCCUCUGGUGAUUACGGGAAGCAGAGAACCAGCUAGUAAUGUUACUGUGUUUAGAUUAAGGCUCAGAUUGGUUAAUGUUUGAAUUUUAUAUUACAGGCAUCUGGUGAUUACAGGGAAGCAGAGAACCAACUAGUCAUGUUACUGUGUUUGGAUUCUGGCUCUGAUUGGUUAAUGUUUGAAUUUUAUAUUACAGGCAUCUUGUGAUUACAGGGAAGCAGAGAAGCAACUAGUCAUGCUGUGGGUGUGGAUGCCUUCGCUUUUAUUGAAGUCCUCAGACAGUACAGAGGAAUGAUCCUUUGCUGUUCAUGACUGGCUCAGGCACAGAAUGAGAAAGAGAAGAUUGAGAAUAAACCACAACUAUUGAAGAUUCUACAAGCCCUUCAGGCUAUAGAUCAAGAGGGAGAGGUCCAGAAGAGAUCAUGCAAGGAAAAGUCAAGCUGCGGCAGACAUAGGGGCCAUGUAUACAGAUGACACAUAGUUACUUAAUGGCAAACAAGAAGUAUCAGUUGCCGGACGGUUCGUUCAGGAAACAGAAGAAAGGAUAUGAGUAAGUACAUGUUCCAGCACUAACCACAACCCUUCGAUUCAGAUGAGUCAUUGGUGAAUAUAGACAGAUUACCAAAGUAUGCACAGCCAGCUUUUGAGGGUUUCAAAUCAUUAUAAAGAACACAGAGUUGCUUGUUCAAAGCAGCUAUGGAAACAGAUCAAAAUGUUCUUCUCUGUGUUCCUACAAGACUGAAGUGAUAUAGUAUGAAGGUUGAGGAGUUGACGGGGGCUCUCAGGUGAGCAAGGAGCAGAUAAAUGCCACACAGAUCGUGUGCACGCCGGAGAAGUGGGAUAUCAUCUCUAGGAAAGGAGGGGAGAGAACUUGUACACAACUUGUCAGAUUAAUGAUCUUUGAUGAGGUUCAUUUAUUGUCUGAUGAGAGAAAGAGGACCAGUUUUAGAAUCUCUUAUUGACAGAAACAUGGAAACUACACAAAAAGAUGUACAACUUGUUGGUCUCAGUGCCACACUACCAAACUACAAGGAUGUAGCGACCUUCCUGUGCUUGGAACCCUCUGGAGGUCUGCUCUUUUCCGACACCAGUUUCCGACCUGUACCACUAGAACAACAGUUUGUCAAUAACAGUGUGGAAACCGGUGAAGAGGUUCAAGAUAAUGAAUGAGAUUGUAUAUGAAAAGGUUAUGGAGCAUGCAGGCAAUAAUCAGGAGGAGACAGGGAAGACAGCUGGAGCAAUACGAGACACAUGUCUUGAGAAAGAUACUUUUGGACUCUUCUUUAAGGAAGGCUCCGUGUCAACAGAAGUAUUACGUAAUGAAUGGGAACAUGUGAAAAACUAGGGGCUAAAAGACCUUCCUCCUCACAGCUUUACUAUACGUCAUGCUGGCAUGUAUAAAUGUUGGGACGUGCCGGAAGACCUCGUUGAGGGUAUAAUGUUGACCAAUCACAGUGAGUUACAGUACUACCUGUCAUUGAUGAAUCAAUUGGAGAGGCAGUUUAUUUACAAAAUGGCUGGCAGUUGUCCUUGGAACAGUGCAUUCUAGUCAAAAAAGCAGUAGAUUG